rnacentral:rRNA from 1 species
GUCCACGCUGUAAACGAUGUCUGCUAGCCGUUGGGAUCCUUGAGGUCUCGGUGGCGCAGCUAACGCGAUAAGCAGACCGCCUGGGGAGUACGGCCGCAAGGUUAAAACUCAAAUGAAUUGACGGGGGCCCCGCACAAGCGGUGGAGCAUGUGGUUUAAUUCGAUGCAACGCGAAGAACCUUACCACCCCUUGACAUCCAGAGAACUGCCCAGAGAUGGGCGGGUGCCUUCGGGAACUCUGAGACAGGUGCUGCAUGGCUGUCGU